rnacentral:rRNA from 1 species
GACGAACGCUGGCGGCGGGCUUAACACAUGCAAGUCGAACGGGAACGUCCUUCCUUUGUGGGGUGCUCGGGGGGCCAACGGGUGAGUAACCCGUUAGUAACCUACCGUUGACUUUGGGAUAACGUCAUAAAACUGGAGCUAAUACCGGAUAGGAGCUCCCGCCGCAUGGUGGGGGUUGGAAAGUUUCGGCGGUUGGUGAUGGACUCGCGGCUUAUCAGCUUGUUGGUGGGGUAGUGGCUUACCAAGGCUUGGAGCCGUAGCCGGGCUGAGAGGGUGACCGGCCAAAUUAGGACUGGGAUGCGACACAGACUACUACGGGAGGGAGCGGUGGGGAAUAUUGCACAAUGCGCGGAAGCCUGAUGCAGCAACGCCGCGUGCGGGAUGACGGCCAUCGGGCUGUAAACCGCUUUCGCCUGUGACGAAGCGUGAGUGGCGGUAAUGGGUAAAGAAGCACCGGCUAACUACGUG